rnacentral:lncRNA from 1 species
AGUUGAUAAUUUGCUGUCAUUUAUUAUUAAAUGGACAUGAAAAUCAUGAAUUUUAUAUUAAAUUAUAUUGUAAGUCAGCAAAAUUUUAAUAUCAAGAUUAAUGAAUUGUAUAAUGAUCUAGCGAGACAUCAAUUCAGAAAAGUUGGUACUUGCUGCAUGUAAGAAAACGAACGUAUAUUGCACCAAUAUUAGGUGGUAGACACUAGGG